rnacentral:rRNA from 1 species
CCUACGGGAGGCUGCAGUAAGGAAUAUUGCGCAAUGGGCGAAAGCCUGACGCAGCGACGCCGCGUGGGGGAUGAAGGUCUUCGGAUUGUAAACCCCUUUCGGGAGGGAAGAUGGAGCGAGCAAUCGUUCGGACGGUACCUCCAGAAGCAGCCACGGCCAACUUCGUGCCAUCAGCCGCGGUAAUACGAAGGUGGCAAGCGUUGUUCGGAUGGACUGGGCGUGCAGGGUGGGUGGUUGGUUAGGUAAGUGUUAAAGCUUCGGGCCCAACCCGGAAAGCGCAGAGGGUACUGCCAGGCUAGAGGGUGGGAGAGGAGCGCGGAAUUCCAGGUGUAGCGGUGAAAUGCGUAGAGAUCGGGAGGAAGGCCGGUGGCGAAGGCGGCGCUCUGGAACAUACCUGACGCUGAGACACGAAAGCGUGGGGAGCAAACAGGAUUAGAUACCCUAGUAGUC